rfam:Morganella phage vB_MmoM_MP1, complete genome.
AGCGGGUUGGCCGAGAGGCUUAUGGCGCUGGUCUUGAAAACCAGAGGACGGGAAACCGUUCCGUGAGUUCGAAUCUCACACCCGCUG